AACGUAGGAUGCGAACGUUAUCCGGAUUUACUGGGUGUAAAGCGCGUGCAGGCGGCCUUGUAAGGCGUGCGUGAAAGCGCCUGGCUCAACCGGGCGAGGACGGGCGCAACUGCAAGGCUGGAGGCGGGUAGAGGCGCGUGGAAUUCCGGGUGUAGUGGUGAAAUGCGUAGAGAUCCGGAGGAACACCAGUGGCGAAGGCGACGCGCUGGGCCGGGCCUGACGCUAAGACGCGAAAGCAUGGGGAGCGAACGGG
rnacentral:rRNA from 1 species